UACGAAGGGGGCUAGCGUUGUUCGGAAUGACUGGGCGUAAAGGGCGCGUAGGCGGCGAUCUUAGUCAGGCGUGAAAGCCCUGGGCUCAACCUAGGAAUUGCGUUUGAUACUGGGUUGCUAGAGUGCGGGAGAGGAUGGUGGAAUUCCCAGUGUAGAGGUGAAAUUCGUAGAUAUUGGGAAGAACACCGGUGGCGAAGGCGGCCAUCUGGACCGUUACUGACGCUGAGGCGCGAAAGCGUGGGGAGCAAACAGG
rnacentral:rRNA from 1 species